rnacentral:misc_RNA from 1 species
ACGAAUCGUGAUUGGUGAAAUGUUAUUUCACCAAACAUAUGUGCUCUCCAGGCGACUGGAGAUGCAAAACAUAUCAUAUAUAUGAUGUAGUGUAUUAUUGUCUAGUGAAUGUUUGAUGUAUCACAUGAUACAAUCAGUAAUCAAAUG